AUUGAACGCUGGCGGAAUGCUUUACACAUGCAAGUCGAACGGCAGCACGGACUUCGGUCUGGUGGCGAGUGGCGAACGGGUGAGUAAUGUAUCGGAACGUGCCCAGUCGUGGGGGAUAACGUAGUGAAAAUUACGCUAAUACCGCAUACGAUCUAUGGAUGAAAGCGGGGGAUCGCAAGACCUCGCGCGAUUGGAGCGGCCGAUAUCAGAUUAGGUAGUUGGUGGGGUAAAGGCCCACCAAGCCAACGAUCUGUAGCUGGUCUGAGAGGACGACCAGCCACACUGGAAUUGAGACACGGUCUAGACUCCUACGGGAGGCAGCAGUGGGGAAUUUUGGACAAUGGGCGAAAGCCUGAUCCUGCCAUUCCGCGUGCAGGAUGAAGGCCCUCGGGUUGUAAACUGCUUUUGUACAGAACGAAAAGGUUUCUACUAAUACUAGGAGCUCAUGACGGUACUGUAAGAAUAAGCACCGGCUAACUACGUGCCAGCAGCCGCCGUAA
rnacentral:rRNA from 1 species